CCCUUAGACGUUCUGGGCCGCACGCGCGCUACACUGACACAGGCAACGAGCUUUCCUUUACCGAAAGGUAUGGGUAAUCUUUUGAAACUGUGUCGUGCUGGGGAUAGAUCCUUGCAAUUUUCGAUCUUAAACGAGGAAUUCCUAGUAAGCGCGAGUCAUCAACUCGCGUUGAUUACGUCCCUGCCCUUUGUACACACCGCCCGUCGCUACUACCGAUUGAGUGGUCCGGUGAGGCUUUGGGAUCUGAGCGGAAAGAGCGUUUCGCUGUUUCUGCUCGGAAAACUCAGUCGAACCUUAUCAUUUAGAGGAAGGAGAAGUCGUAACA
rnacentral:rRNA from 1 species